rnacentral:rRNA from 1 species
UUGACCUCGGAUCAGGUAGGAAUACCCGCUGAACUUAAGCAUAUCAAUAAGCGGAGGAAAAGAAACCAACAGGGAUUGCCCUAGUAACGGCGAGUGAAGCGGCAACAGCUCAAAUUUGAAAUCUGGCCCUAGGCCCGAGUUGUAAUUUGCAGAGGAUGCUUCGGGCGCGGUGCCUUCCCAAGUCCCCUGGAACGGGGCGCCAGAGAGGGUGAGAGCCCCGUACGGUCGGCCGCUAAGCCUGUGUGAAGCUCCUUCGACGAGUCGAGUAGUUUGGGAAUGCUGCUCAAAAUGGGAGGUAGACCCCUUCUAAAGCUAAAUACCGGCUAGAGACCGAUAGCGCACAAGUAGAGUGAUCGAAAGAUGAAAAGAACUUUGAAAAGAGGGUUAAACAGCACGUGAAAUUGUUGAAGGGGAAGCGCUUGUGACCAGACUUGCGCCGGGGCGAUCAUCCAGCGUUCUCGCUGGUGCACUCGCCCCGGCGCAGGCCAGCGUCGGUUCGGGAGGGGGGACAAAGGUGUCUGGAACGUGGCUCCCCCGGGAGUGUUAUAGCCAGGCUCGCCAUGCCCCCGCCCGGACCGAGGUUCGCGCUCUGCAAGGACGCUGGCGUAAUGGUCACCAGCGGCCCGUCUUGAAACACGGACCAAGGAGUCGAGGUUCUGCGCGAGUGUUUGGGUGACAAACCCGCACGCGCAAUGAAAGUGAACGCAGGUGGGAGCUUCGGCGCACCACCGACCGAUCCUGAUGUUCUCGGAUGGAUUUGAGUACGAGCGUAGGGCCUCGGACCCGAAAGAUGGUGAACUAUGCUUGGAUAGGGUGAAGCCAGAGGAAACUCUGGUGGAGGCUCGCAGCGGUUCUGACGUGCAAAUCGAUCGUCAAAUCUGAGCAUGGGGGCGAAAGACUAAUCGAACCAUCUAGUAGCUGGUUACCGCCGAAGUUUCCCUCAGGAUAGCAGUGUUGUUCUUCAGUUUUAUGAGGUAAAGCGAAUGAUUAGGGACUCGGGGGCGCUAUUUAGCCUUCAUCCAUUCUCAAACUUUAAAUAUGUAAGAAGCCCUUGUUGCUUAGUUGAACGUGGGCAUUCGAAUGUACCAACACUAGUGGGCCAUUUUUGGUAAGCAGAACUGGCGAUGUGGGAUGAACCAUACGCGGGGUUAAGGUGCCGGAGUGGACGCUCAUCAGACACCACAAAAGGCGUUAGCACAUCUUGACAGCAGGACGGUGGCCAUGGAAGUCGGAAUCCGCUAAGGACUGUGUAACAACUCACCUGCCGAAUGUGCUAGCCCUGAAAAUGGAUGGCGCUCAAGCGUCCCACCCAUACCUCGCCCUCAGGGUAGGAACGAUGCCCUGAGGAGUAGGCGGCCGUGGAGGUCCGUGACGAAGCCUAGGGCGUGAGCCCGGGUCGAACGGCCUCUAGUGCAGAUCUUGGUGGUAGUAGCAAAUACUUCAAUGAGAACUUGAAGGACCGAAGUGGGGAAAGGUUCCAUGUGAACAGCGGUUGGACGUGGGUUAGUCGAUCCUAAGCCAUAGGGAAGUUCCGUUUCAAAGGGGCACUCGUGCCCCGUGUGGCGAAAGGGAAGCCGGUCAAUAUUCCGGCACCUGGAUGUGGGUUUUUCGCGGCAACGCAACCGAACGCGGAGACGGCGGCGGGGGCCCCGGGCAGAGUUCUCUUUUCUUCUUAACGGCCUGUCACCCUGGAAACAGUUUGUCUGGAGAUAGGGUUUAAUGACCGGAAGAGCCCGGCACUUCUGCUGGGUCCGGCGCGCCCCCGACGUCCCUUGAAAAUCCGCGGGAGGGAAUA